rnacentral:rRNA from 1 species
GACGAACGCUGGCGGCGUGCUUAACACAUGCAAGUCGAACGAUGAAGCUGGAGCUUGCUCCGGUGGAUUAGUGGCGAACGGGUGAGUAACACGUGAGCAAUCUGCCCUUGACUCUGGGAUAACUGCGGGAAACUGUAGCUAAUACCGGAUACGAUAUUUGGAGGCAUCUCCGGACCUGGAAAGAAUUUCGGUCAAGGAUGAGCUCGCGGCCUAUCAGCUUGUUGGUGAGGUAAUGGCUCACCAAGGCGAAGACGGGUAGCCGGCCUGAGAGGGUGACCGGCCACACUGGGACUGAGACACGGCCCAGACUCCUACGGGAGGCAGCAGUGGGGAAUAUUGCACAAUGGGCGAAAGCCUGAUGCAGCAACGCCGCGUGAGGGAUGAAGGCCUUCGGGUUGUAAACCUCUUUUAGUAGGGAAGAAGCGAAAGUGACGGUACCUACAGAAAAAGCACCGGCUAACUACGUGCCAGCCGCCGCCGUAA